CUACAUGAAGCUGGAGUUACUAGUAAUCGCAGAUCAGAAUGCUGCGGUGAAUGCGUUCCCGGGUCUUGUACACACCGCCCGUCACACCACGGAAGUUGGGGCGCCCGAAGCCACUUAGCUAACCCUUUUGGGAAGCGAGUGUCGAAGGUGAAAUCAAUAACUGGGGUGAAGUCGUAACAAGGUACC
rnacentral:rRNA from 1 species